CCACUCCAAACUAACUCUGUUUUCUGGUCAAUUGUGUGCAUGUCUCACUCCACGGAUGGCUGGGACAUCAAGCUUAUCUUGGCCCAGAAGUCCCCAGAAGACAGGGAAUACAGCCGUGUGAACUCAGCAUGAAAUGACAUGGACCCAGAAUGACAGAGGUGCCAGCAACAUCCUGACCCACUGGGAUGGAGGGAAAUGGUGGUAAGGACCCUGUACCUCCCUUUGCUUACGAGCUGGAAGAGCAAACCUGGUUUGCAUGGGAGGCACAAGCGACAGACUGCUCAGUCUGGCUUCCUUGCUCAUCAAACACAGCGAAUUCACCAACAGGCAGGGGCCACACUUAUCUGAGCUUAAAGGCCCCCAUCUCCCACAUUAUUAAAAUAUAGCCAACAACUAGGAAGUAGCUACGUGGGAUGUGCUCCAAGGCACCCUAUUUUCCUUCCACAAAAAGUGGCAACGAUGUGGACCCUGCUGCAGCAUGGUUUAUGCAUGCCCAGUGCAGCCUUUGUCAAUCAGUACACCAGCAGGACACUGGGUGAGAAACUGGGAACACAGAUACUCCAAAAGAGUUUGCAGAUUGAACCCCUAAACUGUAAACUCCUUGAAAGCAGGUUAAAGUCUCACUUGUUUUCUACAGCGUCAGCAAGUGUCUGACAAAGAAAAUGCUCACUGGACACUUGCUCACACAGAGAGUGACUCAGGACAUGUCCCACUUGAGUUCUGAAGUAA